rnacentral:rRNA from 1 species
GGGGUAACAAGUCUAGCUUGCUAGAUGUUGACGACCGGCGCACGGGUGCCCAACGCGUAUACAAUCUGCCCCCUACUGUGGGAUAGCCCAGAGAAAUUUGGAUUAAUACCACAUGGUACCAUAUUACGGCAUCGUAUUUAUGGUUAAAGGUUACGGUAGGGGAUGAGUAUGCGUCCCAUUAGUUAGUUGGCGAGGUAACGGCUCACCAAGACCGCGAUGGGUAGGGGCCCUGAGAGGGGGAUCCCCCACACUGGUACUGAGACACGGACCAGACUCCUACGGGAGGCAGCAGUGAGGAAUAUUGGACAAUGGGCGGGAGCCUGAUCCAGCCAUGCCGCGUGCAGGAAGAAUGCCCUAUGGGUAGUAAACUGCUUUUAUACGGGAAGAAAAAGGGCUACGUGUAGCCCACUGACGGUACCGUAAGAAUAAGGACCGGCUAACUCCGUGCCAGCAGCCGCGGUAAUACGGAGGGUCCGAGCGUUAUCCGGAAUUAUUGGGUUUAAAGGGUCCGUAGGCGGGCCGAUAAGUCAGGGGUGAAAGUCUGCCGCUCAACGGUAGAAUUGCCUUUGAUACUGUCGGUCUUGAGUUAUGGUGAAGUUGGCGGAAUAUGUAGUGUAGCGGUGAAAUGCAUAGAUAUUACAUAGAACACCGAUUGCGAAGGCAGCUGACUAACCAUCGACUGACGCUGAUGGACGAAAGCGUGGGGAGCGAACAGGAUUAGAUACCCUGGUAGUCCACGCCGUAAACGAUGGAUACUAGCUGUCCGGGUCCUUGAGACCUGGGCGGCCAAGCGAAAGUGAUAAGUAUCCCACCUGGGGAGUACGUUCGCAAGAAUGAAACUCAAG